CCCUUAGAUGUUCUGGGCCGCACGCGCGCUACACUGACGGAGUCAACGAGUUGUCCUGCAUCGGAAGGUGUGGGUAAUCUUUUGAAACUUCGUCGUGCUGGGGAUAGAUCUUUGCAAUUUUCGAUCUUGAACGAGGAAUCCCUAGUAAGCGUGAUUCAUCAGAUCGCGUUGAUUACGUCCCUGCCCUUUGUACACACCGCCCGUCGCUACUACCGAUUGAAUGGUUUAGUGAGGCCUCGGGACUGGCGCGCUCGAGUAGCAAUACACCUGCGCGCCGGGAACUUGGUCAAACUUGAUCAUUUAGAGGAAGUAAAAGUCGUAACA
rnacentral:rRNA from 1 species